rnacentral:rRNA from 1 species
UACAGAGGUCCCAAGCGUUGUCCGGAUUCACUGGGCGUAAAGGGUGCGUAGGCGGUCGGUUAAGUCUGACGUGAAAUCUCCGGGCCUAACUCGGAAACUGCGUCGGAUACUAUCCGGCUAGAGGAUUGGAAGGGAGACUGGAAUACUUGGUGUAGCAGUGAAAUGCGUAGAUAUCAAGUGGAACACCAGUGGCGAAGGCGAGUCUCUGGACAAUUCCUGACGCUGAGGCACGAAAGCCAGGGGAGCAAACGGG